rnacentral:rRNA from 1 species
AGCGUAGGCGGCGCUUUAAGUUAUAUGUGAAAUCCCCGGGCUUAACCCGGGAACUGCAUGUAAGACUGAAGUGCUGGAGUGUGGGAGAGGAUAGCGGAAUUCCUAGUGUAGCGGUGGAAUGCGUAGAUAUUAGGAGGAACACCAGAGGCGAAGGCGGCUAUCUGGACCAUAACUGACGCUGAGGCUCGAAAGCGUGGGGAGCAAACAGGAUUAGAUACCCUGGUAGUCCACGCUGUAAACGAUGAUUACUAGAUAUGGGAGGUACGACUCCACCCGUGUCGCAGCAAACGCAAUAAGUAAUCCGCCUGGGGAGUACGGCCGCAAGGUUGAAA